rnacentral:lncRNA from 1 species
UCAAUAUUGUUGUUGAUGGUGAAGAUAAAUAGCUUCUUAAUGUCUGGGAGGGGUAGCUUGUUUUCUUUGUCUUUUGAAGUCUUUUCAAAUAAGAAUUCUGUCAUUAGAAUGUGCCCAGUUGAAGAGGCUAACUGAAUUGGAAGCAUAUCGUUUUUGUCUCUAAUCCAUAGCAAACUUCUCUUCUUGUUAAGAAGAAUUUCAGCAAUUUUCACAUUUCCAGUUAUCGCUGCCAAACAAAAGGCCUUUUCCAUAUCUUCUUGCUCCAUUCGUUUCACCAACUUUUCUACAAAACCAGUUUGUUCCAUUCUCACUGCGACGUCUAGGGCUGUUAUUCCAACAUCGUCCAAUGGAAUUCGCCACCAAUAAGAAUGAAUUUCAGAAUCAUAGGAUGAAGCCUCUCUCCAAUUUCCUGAAGCUGCUCCUAUGUAUAUUUUCCUCUUUUCCGUUUCUGCAUCUCAUGCAUUUUAUAAUCAAAUUUCUUUUAUAACUUUGGCAUAUAUAUAAAUUUUAAAUAUAAUUUUUUGGUUUAGGGUAUAUAUGUGUGUGUGUUUCAUUCAUAAUAUAUGUCGUAACCUUAUUUAGUAAGUUUUAUGAAUCGUUAAUAUGAUAAAGAGCCUUUGCUCACUAUAAUUUCCAAUUUUUUAAAAUAAGGUAACGAAAAUGUGUUAAAUAUUAGUUUAGUCAGAUACAUUGGAUGGUGAUACAUUUCAAUAUAUAGUUUUUUCCAAACAUAACUAAAGAACUUUCAUCUACCAACUAUAAGUUAGUUUUUUAGCUAUUGUUGUGAAAGACAGUCUAUAUAUCUUAAUAAUUGUAACUUAAUCUUUAUUUUCUAAUUUAACUAAAAAUAACUUAUAAGUUAUGAAACUAAUAGUCAUUUCUUCUUGCACCACUUACUGUCUAUCAAACAAAUUUGUAUUAUACUAAUUGGUGAAUUAAACAUUAAUAUCUCUAUAUAUAUACAUUAUUUUUUAUCCAUUUCAAAAGUUUCAUCAGACUUAAAUAAAAUUAAAAUACAAAAAGGUAUCAUAAGAGGAUUAUCUAAACAAACUAAAGCCUAAAAUGUCCUUAUCUCUCAUUUUUUUAAUAUUUUUAUUGGAUCUCAAUUAAGUUGUCACUGAAACUUAAAUAACUCUCAAAUGGAAAAACAACAAAUAAACCAAUUAAAAAUCAUACUGUUCAGUUCUGGGAAACUUGUUUCGAGUGGCAGUAAUUGUGAAUCCUCUGUCUGAUGGACAACAAUAUUCAGUUCUCUACCAUCUGUAGAUGCAUUUAUCAAAGGAUAUAUGUCAUUACGAUCUCUUAAAAUCAGAACCGAAACAUACAUAAAAAAAUCGCAAAGUGCAAUGUUAUUUAUACAACUAGGAACUGAAAUUUAGAAAGUAAAUACCGUUUAUAAUUGACUUUAUGCUUAUACAUAAUACUAAGGAAAUUACAAAACGUACGCAUUAAUGUACAGAAGUUAGAAUUGAAAAUAUUAACGACGUGAUUUAUAAGUUAGAAAGCAUACUCUCAGGCUUGGUAAUUUGCGGCGUCAUUCUGAUUCCGGCUACUGGGAAAGAGAGAGGAUAAUGAAAGAAAAGAAUUUGGGGAAGGUUUAAAAGGGUCACUUAACAUCCUGCUUUGCCUUGGACUUCCAUUAUAUAGCUCCUUCACGUUGACUUUGAGCAAGAACUAUACUUUCACAUAAAAAAUAAUACAUCCCGACAAAUAUUUUAAUAAGAUAAUAAUAUGUUAAUAUUUUAAGUUCAAAAAUAAAAUAAAAUAUUAAUAUUUUAUAGAUCACUCCUCGGACUUUGAAUUCUACUGCCAAAUCUCCUUCCUCAACGGGUGUCAUAUACAUAUUCAGCCAGACUGUUCUGUUGCACGUUUUUACAUCCACACAAUAUUCCCUGCAUCUUUAAAUUAUUUUUUUUUGGGUACAAUCUUUAAAUUAAUUUAACUUAAGGAACCAGGACACAGAUAAACAAAUAUUAGCAUUAAUACUUUAAUAAUAAUAAUUGAGCGUGCUUUAAAUGGUAGCUUUAAUAAUAAUAAAAAAUUGGUUUCAUACAUAGGCUCGGCUUGUUUGUAGAUACAUAGCAUGUGGUGCCACUUUUUUUUAUCCUUAAGUUUUGUUUCUUUAUUCUUAGCAUGCGCUACAUGUAAGUCUAACUAAAUAGAGAAACAAUUUGAAAUAGUUCUAAUAAUAAAAAAAAAAUCAGAAUUACUGCAGCUCAACUAUGAACAAGCUCAUUGGUCAAUAAUGAAUGAAAUGAUAAAAUAUGAGCUAGAAAAUCAAGGUACAGAUCCUCCGCAGUUUGCUUUCACACUGCCCGAAUCUCAGUUCUUAAAAUAUAAAUUUUGUUUUAUUAACAAGUUAUAAAUGAUUAGAUAUAACGAGUGAAAUCGUUGGAUUGAGCUGCAUCAUUGCGAUUUAUUUUUGUUUUAUUAGAAGUUAUAAACAUUUAGAUACGAUGUGGUAGGACAGGAGAAUGGCAUGGAGUGGUGUGGUAGUGGGAGAGGAAUUUUUUAGGCCAGGCCUCUUUUUAUGACAGCAAGUAUUAGGAUUGUGUGGGGCCAGCUGCAGAAAACUCAUUUGAGUAUGCAGCCACCAUUGCCAGCUUCCCUGCCACUCAUCUAACGUGUAAUAGCAUCUGGAAGGUGUUUGAGGCAGCUAUAGGAAGGAAGCUUGGAGGAAUGAUAUAGAAGGAAUUUUGAACUGCUAUGACUGCAGCAGAGUAGCGUAGCAGAAGUACCACUGUGAGCAUAGGUGCAAGUACAUUACAGCAGUUUCAAGUUCAUGUUAAAGGUUAUGGACAGGAUAAGCUUGAGGUGUACAAAAAAGAAUAUCAGCUGCUAAGAGGGUUUCUUUACAAUGCUAGAAUUUUCCUCUUUUGCUGCAUAAUCUAUUGUUUUUUGCUAUCUAGUGCAAUAGAUGAAUUUAUGUAUAAAGAUUGGGAUACUCUUUAAAAUAUAUAUUUUUAAUUUAUUUAAUUUUUGCUGAUAAAAAAAUGAGUGAAAGCCAUUGGAUCAAACUGCUAAUGUAGUUUACUUCAGACAAAAGAACUUCACAAAUAAAGACGUAAAGAAUAAAGGGACAAGAGAAACGUUCCUUAAAAUGAGAAAAGAAAAUAAUGUCAGUCGAGGCACAAAGAAUAAACCAUAACUUAUUUCCUGAAAUAAAAUAUAUACAUAUACAAGCCUGGACCAUAAGAUACUGGUUUUUGUUACUAGAAUAACAACAAAAUUUUAUUUAUAUAAUACUUGGGUACACUGGUCCCUUAGAUAAGACCAAGGCGAACUUCCAUCCCAUGAUAAAUGUCCACGAUGGAAAUUCCAUCUUCAACGGCUAGAAAGUCAAUUAGUCUCGGGGAUUGCAACAAUAUCAAUGGCAUUUACGAGACACCCAGAAAAGUAUGAACAACAAUGAGCCAUAUAGCAACAUUGCAUUCCUCAAUUAUCAUGGAUCCAAAUUCACAAUCAUAACAUCAAUUCAAUAGAACAAAACUAACAAAAUUACAUGAUUUUGAGUUGGCCCUCGCUAUGUCUUUUUUGGUGGUUGAAAACAACAUAAAAUAUUAUCACUUGAUAAAACAAACUAAAGUAUAAAACAGAUUCCAAAAAGUUACGUGUAUAUAUAUACUUUUGUCACCUUAGAAAGUGUGGAUAAAGUCUGAUUUUAUGUCCGAAAAAUCUCUAACACACAGCACAAGGUUUCAAUCCAAAUUCUCAAUUUGUCUGAAUCAGCUUUGAAGAUCUUAAAAUAGACUCUUCUUUGGACCCCAAAACCAUGGAAGUCUAAGAAAUCUUACAAUCAUCCCAAAACAAAAGGAGCAAAAUUGCAUGUUCUAAAAUAAUUAUUUUUUGGCACUUUUGAGAUAAUAAUUUUCACAUUAGGAGUAAAUUCUAAUCUAAUCUACAUAUACUACAAGAAAACAAAACACACUCUCUGGCUUGGUAAUUGCAUCUUAGUAAGAAAAUUGUGGUGUAAUUGCAAAAUCUUAUAACAUGGUCAUCAAUCUUGGAACUCAAUAGUUCGCACUUGCAGAACGGAGGAACAUAUAGAUGUUUGAAAUCUGUUAUGUUAUUCCCCAUUUCAUACGUGGUAGACAAUUUUUCUGGCAUGUAACAACUAUUGAUUUUUUGGGUAAAUCAUAUGUUUUAGAUGUCUGUAAUAUGGUUGUUUUGUAUGGAUAUACUGUACACAUGUGGACUAGAGGACUAGAGAAUUUGCUAUGCAAAUUAGCAUAUUAACAGAUUAUAUUGAGUUUGGUUUUGAGUCUGUUUGGGUUUAUACGAGUUAGAUUUGAUUUUGUACGGGUUAGUUUUUGAAAUUGUACGGAUUAUACGGGUUUUUUAGUGGUAAAUUUGUUUGUCUCUCUAUUUGUUGGUUUGGGAGACCAGUGAAAUUGUUUCAUUUUUUUUAGGUAUGUAUAAGGGUUGAAUCACCCUUAAGUGAUUCCUGUUAUUCAAUCUUUAUUACUGAUAAAAAAAAUUAGUAUAUUAACAUAAGAAUAGGAGCUGUGAGUUGUAACAGCAUGUGCUCCGAAGUAAUUUGCAUUUAUAUUUUUUUUAUUGGAAACAUAAAUGUUCCAUUAUAUUCAUUUAUUCAUUGUAUAUAAAAAAAAACGUGCUUGCAUUUCAUGUUGACUUGGAAUUCUACUGCCAAUGCCUCCAGGUCUCACACCUGUUAUGUUACGCGCAUUUACAUCAAUGCAAUAUUCCUUGCAUCUUUAAAUCAAUUGUUUUUUGUUUCUUUAUUCUUAGCAUGUGAUGCAUUCAAGUGUAAUUAAAUCAAUAAACAAUUUGAAACAGUUUUCAUACUAACUACAAAGCAAUUUAAAAUUACUAUACAGUUCAACUACAUAUGAGCAUGCUCAUUGGUCGAUGUAAUGUGAAUUAGAGAAUCAAGAUAUAUAUAGUUUAAAAUAACAUAGGCAACCAAACAUCAAUUAUAAUAAGGGUAGAACUGAAAUUUGUCUAUUAGAAGUUUAUAAAUAAUUAGAUAUAAUGACUGAAAUUUGUUAGAAUAAAAUGCACCUUUGUGUCAACUCUUGGUAAGUAUACCAAAUAGUAUUGUGUUUAGUAAUAAAAUAGAAAGAUCUAAAAGCAUUGAUUGCUACAAAUUUAAAAAGGUGAAUAUAAUUUUAAAUUGAAAAUAUAUUCAAAAGUUUUUUUUUAUCAGCAAUAAAAAAUAAAUAAAUGGGAACCACUUCUGGGGUGAUCCAACCCUUAUACAUAAAUAGCUAUCGCCUUACCAACCUCCAACCAAUACACCUUCCAACUAAAUAAGGAACAACCAAAGCAACACAAGAAAACAUUAAACAACCAGCCUCAUACAAUCCAUUGGGUUCAAAACCCAGUUGAGAUACGUAAAGGAAUUACAACAGGACUUUGCAAAAAUCAAGACCAAACAUUUACCUAAACUAGUGCAAAUACCUCGAGCGCAUCUACCACGCCCUUGUCGAAGGUCACCGACUUCCUAUGUCUCCAAAUUCCACUCACAACACCAACUCAAAUCGCCCCCCAAACGUCAUUAACCACAUCAGAAGCCGAACACAACCUGAAUUGUUGGAAGUUUACCAAAGGGUCCUUGUGAAUAACAAACGACACUCCAAGCCACUCAAAACAAAGACACCACACUCGCCAGGUAAACUCGCAGACGGAAAACAGAUGACAGGACGACUCUUCCACCUUCCCACACAAAUCACACACCAGAUUCUCAACCACCACCCCUCACCUUUCCAAAUUUACCUUAGUAGCAACUUAAGAUAAUAUUACAGAGAAAUAUUUAUUGAGUUGAAUUUUAUGAACUCAUUUCAAUGUAAUUUUCUUUCUAGCUAAUAUAUCUUUAACACAAUUCGAUCAUUCACAUAACAAAUUUACUGUUCCUAAUUCUCUUGAGACGAGAUUUAAAUAUUAAUGCAAAAAUUCUAAUUCCUUAAUUUAUUUUAUACCAGACUUGCAGGAAGGAUAUUAGAAAAAAAAUGCAUGAAGGAUAUUAGAAUUAUUUUAACCAUAAAUUUAGUAUAAAAUAAAUAAAUUUAUUGCAUAAAGACAAAAUUAAAAAGUUCAAUUACUAUGAUGAGACAAAGUUAUUAUCACAUUUAACACAGUACACUUUAUUUUAUUUUUUAUAAGAAGUUAUAAACAUAUAAUGUUUUAUAGCUAAUAUUGAAUCCAACUAUUUAUUUAUAGCUAUUGAAUCAAACUGCUACGGAUGCAGUUUACCGCAGACAAUUAAUAGAGCUUCCCAAUUUUUUUGAAGUCUCCCAGCGACCCAAUAUAAUUUAUUUUCAUUAAGUUCUUUUAUUCUGUUUAACUCGAAGUUUGAACCUACCUGUCGGAAAAGAAGGUAGUUUCAAGUUGGUUUUUUCGGAUUCCGGUAGCGGUUCUCUAUCACACUUGACAUCAAUGAAUUUUUUAGCAAUUUGGAGCAAAAGACGUAAGUAAAGAACAUACUGCUGUUUCUGUAAAUGUUUAUUAGAUUAUUCUUUUUGAAAUCCUUUAUAUAUAGAUAGUUGCAGCUGUGAUUGUAUUAUAGAUUGGUUUUUGGUACUGGAACUCGGCCCUUAUAUCGUUUGGCAGAAAGUGUUCAUUUCUUUUAGUACAGUAAUUCUCAGGAGUAUGUAUACGGGUUGGAGUAACUAUGAAUAUAUAUAGAUAUAUUUUUCUGAUGUAAAAAAGAAUUGACCAGGACUAAAACCUAAUGUGUUCCUUAUCUUUCAAAUGCCUCUUUGCUUUUGAGCUGCUAAAUAGAAUAGAGGGAAAAGGAUUAUCAGGGUUUGAGGCCAAGUUCUUGAUUCUUGUUUUUUCUUUUUUCUUUUUGCAUUAUACACUUUUUCGAUCACGUUAAUUUAUCAAUAGUUACGUUGUUUGAUUGAUUGAUGCUAAUCUUCUUAAUUAGAUUAAAAAAAAAUGCUGGUAAAGCAUAAAUGGUCAUCUAGUGCUUGAAAGAUAAUGUUUUUCAUUCCGAUUUCAGGAGGCAUAUGUAUUUAUCAAGGUGAGGUUUCCCAUAAUUUUUUUUCAUAUAUGGCAAGCACAAGCUGGUUAUUAUUUGAGGAAAGAUGUAGAUUGGAAAUUUAAAAGGCAUACAACAGAUUCACUCUCACUCAGUCUUGAAAAUAAAUGUUCUUGCUAACUUGCCAUCUUAUAAAACACUCAGAUAAGAACACUAGGGCACAGUCAUACGUACUUAGUUUAUUCCAACUAAUUUAAGCCAUUUUUUUUUCUGAAUGAAUGAUAGGAUUCAUAUAUCUUGCGGAUUGGCCAUAACAAUCUUUCCAACUUCAGUGGAGCUACCUUGGAGAAGGUUAGCAGCAAGUGCGACAUAUAGUUACUCCACAGAGUAUGAACAAGUGUAAAAUGCACAAGAAAUACCAGGCAACCAACUCCAAAAGUGAAAUAAGGGCCCCAAUUGGAUAAGAAUUCAAAGAUCAACGUGGCACUGGCAAUAGAAGCAAACAUCAUGAAUCCAGCAGAUAUUAAAAGUGUCACACUACCAAAUCUCACCUUAUUUUCCUGUAAUCGGAUAGACUCAUCUUUUGGCUCCAUGUUUGAAGGAAGAAUAGCUGAAGCAUAGAAUAACAUAGAUGCAGCGCAGAAAGAUGUUUCCAGCCCAACUGAUACAAAAAAGAUCGUAUACCAUGUCUUCUUCCGAAAAAUUGGAGUAAGUGUACUAUCAAUAUCAUUAAGAGGAAUGGUUAUGGCAACGGAAAUUCCUAAGGUGAUGAUAAGAGUUGCCACCACUAUUAAAGUAUUUGCCAGAGCUUUCAGUUCAGAUGCAGAUUCUCUGUGCAACUCUUUGUGUGUCUGAUAAAAUAAAUCUUUAGGGGUCCAACCAUCUUUAUUUCUCUUUCUUUUCAUUGAAGGUGGAACUAUUUUCUCCACUUCCUGUUUCGUUUCGUUAAAAAUGAAACUAAAAUGUUUAGUACGAUGAAGAGCAAAGAGGUAGAAAAUUAAUUAUAAAAAUAAUAAUAAAGUGUUCAGAUAGAAAAUCUAAAAAGAUAAUUUGAAUGAGAAAUUCUAAAAUAAAUUCAAUUAUAGAGAUGAAAAAUGAAUUGCAGCUUAGAAGCUCAUAAUAGAGAUGACAAAUGAACCUAUUUUUAUUGAUUUUGAGGAUGAAUUCUCAUAUUGAUUGGAUAAAGAUAUACAUAUGAUAAUAUCUAAUUUUUUAAAUUGAGUAUAAGAGUAGAAUGAAUAUAUAUCCUCUUUCUUGUCCUAAUUUUCAUCAAAUACUCAUUUCUUUCCGUUUUAAAUUAUUAAAACAUAUUUAAUUUAUUAGAUAAUUUAAAAUGUUUUUAUUAAUUUUCUUUUUCCUUUGAUUUUUAUUUCUAGGUUAUACAAAUAUUUUUACUUUUUUUUUUAUAAUUAUUUGACAAUAUCUAAUUAUUAUUUGAUAUUUAUACAAUUAUAACUUUUUUAUGUAAAUGUGUAUACUUUUCACAUUGAAUACAUGACAAUUACAUAUUUCUUUUGUUGUGAUUUUUAACUUUUAUAAAAAAAUUAUUUAAUUAAUAUUUAGAAUUGUAAAGAAAUGGAACACAAAUACAAACAUAAGAGAAUGAGAUAAAAAUUAAUAUCCAAAAGAUAUGAGAAUAAGAAUGAAAAUAAAUUUUUACUUUAAGAAUAGAAAUGAAAUAGUUAAACCUGCACCUAACCCACCUUUUAUUAACAAAAUAGAAUUUGAAAUAAUUUCAAAUUUAUGUUUUUCCCGUUCUAGGAAAACUAAAACUAACACAUGGUAAUUUAAAUGUGUUAUAUCUUAACAUUGUUUUGUAAUCAACAUUACCAAAAGUUUCGUUUAGAAUAAAGUCAAUGAUGUUUAUUUUUGACUGACAUUAUCUAGACUAUACAUUAAUGUUAGGCUAAAGUUAUUUUUCAAUAUAUUGGAUUAAUAUUAUUAUUUUUACUAAUUAUAAAGUUUUUAGACAAUGUAAGUUCUCAUUAUUUCUUAUUGAAUAUUAGUUAUAUUUUUUUAUCCGCAAAGAAUAGAAUAAAAUAGGAUUUUUUUCUAAAUUAAUUAGAAAAACAUUCAAUCAACCUCAACUAUGGUUUUAUUUUACCGAUACCUACAUCAGAAAGUUUUUUGUUCAACAUUGACAAAAAUAGUCUUCAAAAAAUCUUCAAUCAAUAAAAUAAUUGUGAAUGACACAAAUUAAAAACAAUUUGUAUCCACAUCAAUCACAAAGAAAAAACUUCAUCAAUGAAAAUCUGGGAAAAUUUUUACAGAAGAAUACAUACAAACAAAAUUCACUUAAAAAAAUUAUCAUUAUUAAUAAUUUUGAAUUAUUAAAAUUUAUUUAUAAUAUUUAAUUUUUUUAUAUAUUUAGGAUCACUGAAAUACUUUAUCUAAAAAAAUAUAAUUUGAAAUAGAUUCAUUUAAAUUUAAUGUAUUUAAAUACUUUAAAAAAUAUGAAUUCUCUGCCAUAGAGAAAAAUUGACAUUUUUUUACAAUCUAUAAACUGGAGAGAGGUCAUGCUACCUUAAAGAACUGGUAGAAAAAAAUAUUAAAGAGAUUAACAUUAAACGCUAAUGAAGUAAGAUAUAUAUACCUGAAACCAUUUAUCUUCAGUACGCAUUUGAACAUAAUUUGUUGAUAAUCCAAAUUUUUCUUCUAAGUUAUCCAACUUUGCAGUUAAAUGAAGAACAUUGUUACCCUCAAAAUCAAUCAAUUGUACCAUCAGAUUCUUGGAAUCCCCUGGUUUAAUAUUAGUUCGUAUACAGCUUCUUGUCGAUAUAGAAUAGUAAUGUGAAGUAAGUUUCUUUGUUAGUGGAAUCCACUUCAAAUAACAAAUAUGGAUGAUUGUUGAGAAGAGAUUUUAAAAUCAUAAUGUUUCCUGAUUUUGCCGCAUCGAACAUCGUUGUUGACAUUUUUGCAUAGUUCAGAGACUCUUUCUCUUCUUCCAUUCCUUUAAACAACGAUCUUACAAUAUCUUCAUUACCAAUAAAUUCUUGAGAUGAAGCUAUCCUUGAGUUCAAAUUAGUCAUGUACACACACAUACAAUAAUUUAGUUAAAUAGAGUAAUUAUAGUACACAUAUUCAUAGAUCUACAUCAACUACAAUUGAUAUGAACAUUUCUCUACCAUGAAUAAACAAAUAAUAGAAUUACAAAGAAAAUAAUUACAGGUGCAGUUGAAAUUUAAAACAGUCUUAAAACAAGAAAUGUCGUGCAAACUUUUCAUCUUAUUAUCCUCCAAAACUCUUAAGCACAAUCUCAUAUUUUAGAUCAUUGAACCACAUUUAAGCUUUUUCCUUUGAGAAAGUGAGGAAGACACGAUUUAUCUUACUAAUUAGCCAGAAUAUUGUUGUGUGAGCCUCCUCCAAAUAAAAUAGUAAUGAGUACGCAAUGCCAAUCAAUCGCUUAAAAUCAGGUGUAACAUGUACAACCAAUACCAGUAAACCAAGUGCACAAAUGACAUAAAGGAUCCAACUGGAUAAGAAUUCAAAGACCAGUACGCAGCCGGAAACUAGAGCAACAAACAUGAGUCCAAGUGAGCUGAAAAGUGCCACAUUCCCAAAAACUAACUUUGUUUGUCGCAACCGAACAGACUCUUCCUUUGGUUUUUCCCAAGAUGAGGGAAGAAUAACCGAACCAUAGAACAUCAUAGACGAAACACAAAAACAUGUUCCAUUUGCAAGCGAUAGAAAGAAAAACGUAUACCAUAUCUUCCUUGAAAAAAAAGGAGUACGUGUACCAUCAAUAUCCUCAACAGGAACGGUCAUACCUCCGGUUAUCCCUAGUGUGAUGACCAGAGUUGCUACCACUAACAAUGUAUUUGCUGUAGCUUGCAGUUCUGAUAUUGAUUCUUUGUGCAACUUUUCAUGUCUCUUAUAGAACAAUUCUUUAGGAGUCAAACCUUCGUUGUUUUUCAUUGUUUUCAUUGCACGUGGAACUAUCUUCUCCACGUCCUGUGUUUGGUCAAAAGUGAUGACUAUUAAUGUAAUGAGGAAGAUAAAGAACAUAAGUACGUAGCAAAUUAAUUAUUAAAAAAAGUAUUAUAAAUGCAUUGAGGAACGCAUAAAAAAGAGAAUAAGUAAACAGGAAAAACAUUAUCGUUACAAAGAAAUGAUAAUCGUGUAGAUAUAUACGUACGUACCUUAAACCAUUUCUCCUCACUGCUCAUUAGAACGUUUUGUGUUGAUAAUUUGGAUUGUUUUUCAGCUUGUUCCAUCUCUCCAGCUAAGUGAAGAACAUUAUUACCCUUAGAAUCAACCAGUUUUGUCAGAACAUUCUUUGCAACCUCAUUCUUUAAUAUUAGUUUGUAUACAGAUCUUUGUCGAUGUAGAAUAGCUAUGUGAAGUAAGCUUUGUUUGCAGGAACUCACUUCAAAUAGAAAAUUAGGAUAAUGCUUCAAAAUGAGUUCUAAAAUAUUAGUGUUUCCUGAUUUUGCUGCAUUGAACAUUGCUUUUGACAAUUGUGCAUUGAAAGUAUCUUUCUCCUUUUCCCUUCCAUUACACACCGAACCUACACUAUUUUGAUGGCCAAUAGUAUCCUCGCAAAUGACUGCCAUUGAGUUUAAAUUACUAAUCACAUUCACUUACCCACUAUUUAGUCAAAUAAAAUCACAUUAGCCCAUCUUAAUUAAUAUAUAGAUAGUAACUAAUGAGAUCAUAACAACAGUAAAAUAUUGUUAUUUGAAGUUUUGAUAAUAAACUAGAUGUAUAUAUUUCUAGGACUUAGAGGGCGGUAAAUGGUAUAAAUUAUAGUAAAAAAAAGUAAGUUCUUUUACACUUUGCAUUUUUAUAGAUAGAAAAUGAAAGAGAAUAAAAAACAGGUUAUUUUUGUUAGGAAAAACGGGUAAUUUUCCGACUAAAACAAAACCCUAACAGAGCUACCCGACAAAUAAUAUUGAAUAAAUAAAGCGAAAUAAUAAAAGAGAUAAAGAGGAAAAAACACACCAAAAAAUUGUUAACGGAGUUCGGCCAAUUUAGCCUAAUCUCCGAGCACAGCAAAAACAACUCACUUUUAUUAUUAUGGGAGAAGAUAUUACAAAUUGGGAUAUUUAACAGUGAAGGAGGAGAGUUUAACUUAUAACCCUCAAACUUCCUCCCAAACAAUGAACUCACCGAUGUGGGACUUGGGAUUAAGCCAAAAUCAACAAAUCUCCACCUUGGCUUAAUUUCAAGUUCCACCUAAUACAAAUCUUCUCAAAACAUAACAAAACAAACUUUGCAGUGCUUCAAAUUUGCGCCUCCGGACGCCAACUUCAAAUGUGCAAAAUAUUAACCAAGUCUAAACAAUGUUCAAACUUGGCGCUUGUAACCACCUUGCCUUGUAGCGAACAUCUUCUUUAUUAGAAAAUUCUUCUUUCUUUGCAAAUACCCAUUUGCACCCAAUUGCCUUCUUACCUUUUGGUAAUUGUGCCAGCUUCCACGUCUUGUUCUUCUUCAAAGACUGCAUCUCCUCUUCCAUCGCACCUGCCCAAUUACCACUCUCUGAACUUAGAAUGGCUUCUGGGUAAGUGGAUGGAAUGUCAUCAACAACUGGAAGUGCAUAGGCAACCAUAUCCAUGAAACGAGCAGGCUUCUGAAUAUCUCGUCUCUGUCUUCUAACUGCAAUUGGCGCUGAUUGCUGUUGAGAUUCUUGGGUAGGAACCUCUUCCUCAUCUGACUCUUCUUCUGCCAUAGGAGAGUCACUUGUGGUAUUUCGUGUUGGGAUCACCACUGUCGGCUCAAACUCCACCUGCUUCCGGGCACACUCCACCUGUUGCGGAGUACUAUCAGCUCCUUCUGGAUUUACCUUCUUUAACAUGGCAGAUUCAUCAAAGGUAACAUCUCUGCUGAUAAUCGUCUUCUUUGCCUCUAGACACCACAAACGGUAUCCCUUCACUUCAGGACUAAAGCCCAUGAAAAGAGCCUUCUUUGCCCGUGGAUCCAACUUUGAUUCAAUCACAAGAUAAUAUGCAAUAGAACCAAAAACAUGCAAAGAAUCAUAAUCAGUUGCAGGGUUUCCAGACCAUACCUCUAACGAGGUUUUGCCAUCUAUAGCAGAUGAUGGCAAACGAUUGACGAGAUGUUGAGCGUAUGUCACAGCCUCAGCCCAAAACUCUCUGCCUAACUCAGCAUUAGACAACAUACAACGAACUUUCUCCACAAGUGUCUUGUUCAUACGCUCUGACACCCCAUUCUGCUGUGGUGUUUUUCUAACAGUGAAGUGCCGAACUAUGCCACAAUCUUGGCAUACCUUCAGGAACGGAUCANNNNNNNNNNNNNNNNNNNNNNNNNNNNNNNNNNNNNNNNNNNNNNNNNNNNNNNNNNNNNNNNNNNNNNNNNNNNNNNNNNNNNNNNNNNNNNNNNNNNNNNNNNNNNNNNNNNNNNNNNNNNNNNNNNNNNNNNNNNNNNNNNNNNNNNNNNNNNNNNNNNNNNNNUGCCUACCUCCGAUUGACGGAGUUUUGGCAGGUCCCCACACAUUUGAAUGCACAUAAUCCAGAAUACCCUUGGUAUUGUGAAUUGCAGUGCCAAACUUCACUCUUCGUUGUUUUCCCAGAACACAAUGCUCACAAAAUUCAAGUUUGCAAGCCUUCAUACCUUUCAACAAUCCCUGCUUUGUAAGAAUUUGCAAGGAUUUCUCUCCAGCAUGUCCCAACCUCAUAUGCCACAACUUCGUUGCCUCAACAUCCUUCUUAGAGCUAGAAGUUGUUGCCGCUACUAUCCCACCACUGUACUACCUUGGUAGUAAUACAAAUUGUUCUUCCUCACGCCUUUCGACAUCACCAGUGCUUCUGAAGUUGCUUUAAGAAUUUCAUCUCGCAUCGUCACAACUAGGCCGUUAGAUUCUAAAGCCCCCAAUGAGAUGAGAUUCUUCUUCAACUUUGGCACGUACCGUACAUCCCGCAAAAUUCUGGUGGAUCCAUCGUGAUUCCGCAACUUGAUUGAACCUAUCCCAGUUGUCGUACAUGGAUUAUCAUUACCCAUGUAAACAACCCCGCCAUCAAGUUCUUGAAAUUCAAAGAACCAAUCUCGAAUGGGACACAUAUGAUAGGUACAACCUGAAUCCAAUAUCCACUCAUCUGGAUACGAUGAUGCUGAAAGCGAGACAAUUAAAGAGAUAUCUGAUUCCACAUCACUUUUGCAUUCUGCAACAUUUGCAUCUUGCGGAACCUUCUCUUUCUUCUGUAGUUUUGGACAGUCUUUCUUCCAGUGUCAUUUCUCAUGACAGUAAGCACACUCAUCUUUGGCAACGGCUCGACCUUUAGACUUAGACAUCCCUCUUCUCUUCUUUGUUUGGCUUUGCUGACGACCUCUUGCCACCAAUGCUUCUUCUGAUGUCGUUGAUUUGGUUUUCAUCUUAUCCUGCUUUCUCAAUUCAUGACUAUAUAAAGCAGAACAAACAACAUCUAACGACACAUUCUCCUUCCCAUGAAGGAGCGUAGUCUCCAAAUGUUCAAAUUCAUCAGGAAGAGAUGAUAAUAACAUCAAAGCCAAAUCUUCAUCCUCAAACUUCACAUCUAAAUUCAACAGGUCUGCUACUAAUUCAUUAAACAUAGUGAUGUGUGCAUUCAUAGUAGUACCUUGUUGGUAGUGAAAUCGGAACAACCUUUUCUUCAUCAGGAGCUUGUUCUGACCACUCUUCUUCAGAAACUUGUCCUCCAAUGCCUUCCACAGUUUGUGUGCAGAAGUCUCGUUUUUUACGGCGUACUUCUGCUCUCUGGACAGGCAAGAUCGAAUAGUUCCGCAUGCUAACCGGUUGAUGAUACUCCAGUCUUUCUCCUCUACCUCUUUUGGUUUCUCUCCUUCAAUAGCAAUAUCAAGACCCUGCUGAAAAAGAGAGUCCAAGACCUCUCCUUGCCACAUGCCAAAAUGUCCAGUGUCAUCAAAUAUUUCCACCGCUAAUUUCAAAGUGGACACCGGGAACCUCGACCAUGAUGACAAGGAGCCCGACACUCUGGAUACAUCCUUCGCUUCUUCUUCUUGAUUUGCCAUUACAAACUCAAAAUAUAAUAUUCAAUAUCACAAAUAAUUUCAAACAACCCAAGGCGAACCUUCGGCUCUUGAUACCACUUGUUGGGAAAAACAAGUAAUUUUUCCACUAAAACAAAACCCUAACAAAGCUACCCGACAAAUAAUAUUAAAUAAACAGAGCAGAAUAAUAAAAGAGAUAAAGAGGAAAAAAACACACCAGAAAAUUGUUAACGGAGUUCGGCCAAUUUAGCCUAAUCUCCGAGCACAGCUGAAACAACUCACUUUUAUUAUUAUGGGAGAAAAUAUUACAAAUUGAGAUAUUUAACAGUGAAGGAGGAGAGUUUAAUUUAUAACCCUCAAACCUCCUCCCAAACAAUGAACUCACCGAUGUGGGACUUAGGAUUAAGCCAAAAUCAACAAUUUUCCUCUCUUUAAUUUCUUUUACCAAACUACAUAAGGGUAAAAGGGGUGUUUAUAAAGUAUGAUUUUACUGCUAUGAUAAAGUAAGUAAUUAUUAAAAAAAUAAUGGUUGACAUUAUAACACAUUUAUGAUAAAGUUAAGUUUAUAACAUCAAUUAAUUUUUAUUAAUAACAGAUAAAUAGGUUGUUUUCUUCAGAAUUAGACUCAGAAAAACGAAGUGUUUAAGGAUUGUGAGAACUCACAUUGAUCAAGCAUUUCCCAAGCUGUCGACCUCUCUUCGUUUUCAACAGUAAGCCGUUCUGAUUCCGUUUUCAAUAAUUUUGAUGUCACGGCUGUCAUAUGCCGAGAGUUAAGAGAAGAACAGACGCGUAAGAAAAAAAUGAAAUCAUAACAUACAACCGUUAAAUAUGCGAAAGAAAUGUGCAUGAACUUACUGUCAAUAUUGUUGUUGAUGGUGAAGAUAAAUAGCUUCUUAAUGUCUGGGAGGGGUAGCUUGUUUUCUUUGUCUUCUGAAGUCUUUUCAAAUAAGAAUUCUGUCAUUCGAAUGUGCCCAGCUGAAGAGGCUAACUGAAUUGGAAGCAUAUCGUUUUUGUCUCUAAUCCAUAGCAAACUUCUCUUCUUGUUAAGAAGAAUUUCAGCAAUUUUCACAUUUCCAGUUAUCGCUGCCAAACAAAAGGCCUUUUCCAUAUCUUCUUGCUCCAU